rnacentral:rRNA from 1 species
GACAGAGGUGCCAAGCGUUAGGCGGAAUCACUGGGCUUAAAGCGUGUGUAGGUGGAUGUCUAAGUACCUUGUGAAAUCCCACGGCUCAACCGUGGAACUGCUCGGUAUACUGGAUGUCUUGAGCCACUUAGGGGCUACCGGAACAAAUGGUGGAGCGGUGAAAUGCGUAGAUAUCUGGAGGAAUACCGGUGGCGAAGGCGGCAUCCUGGACCGGCAUUGACGCUGAUGAGCGAAAGCUAGGGGAGCAAACGGG